AGUGAACGCUGGCGGUAGGCCUAACACAUGCAAGUCGAACGGCAGCACAGUAAGGGCUUGCUCUUACGGGUGGCGAGUGGCGGACGGGUGAGGAAUACAUCGUAAUCUACUUUUUCGUGGGGGAUAACGUAGGGAAACUUACGCUAAUACCGCAUACGACCUACGGGUGAAAGCGGGGGAUCUUCGGACCUUGCGCGAUUGAAUGAGCCGAUGUCGGAUUAGCUAGUUGGCGGGGUAAAGGCCCACCAAGGCGACGAUCCGUAGCUGGUCUGAGAGGAUGAUCAGCCACACUGGAACUGAGACACGGUCCAGACUCCUACGGGAGGCAGCAGUGGGGAAUAUUGGACAAUGGGCGCAAGCCUGAUCCAGCCAUACCGCGUGGGUGAAGAAGGCCUUCGGGUUGUAAAGCCCUUUUGUUGGGAAAGAAAAGCAGCAGGUUAAUACCCCGCUGUUCUGACGGUACCCAAAGAAUAAGCACCGGCUAACUUCGUG
rnacentral:rRNA from 1 species